AUUGAACGCUGGCGGCAUGCCUUACACAUGCAAGUCGAACGGCAGCACGGGUGCUUGCACCUGGUGGCGAGUGGCGAACGGGUGAGUAAUACAUCGGAACAUGUCCUGUAGUGGGGGAUAGCCCGGCGAAAGCCGGAUUAAUACCGCAUACGAUCUACGGAUGAAAGCGGGGGACCUUCGGGCCUCGCGCCAUCGGGUUGGCCGAUGGCUGAUUAGCUAGUUGGUGGGGUAAAGGCCUACCAAGGCGACGAUCAGUAGCUGGUCUGAGAGGACGACCAGCCACACUGGGACUGAGACACGGCCCAGACUCCUACGGGAGGCAGCAGUGGGGAAUUUUGGACAAUGGGCGAAAGCCUGAUCCAGCAAUGCCGCGUGUGUGAAGAAGGCCUUCGGGUUGUAAAGCACUUUUGUCCGGAAAGAAAUCCUUGGCCCUAAUACGGUCGGGGGAUGACGGUACCGGAAGAAUAAGCACCGGCUAACUACGUG
rnacentral:rRNA from 1 species